rnacentral:rRNA from 1 species
UAGGGAAUCUUCCGCAAUGGGCGAAAGCCUGACGGAGCAACGCCGCGUGAGUGAUGAAGGUCUUCGGAUCGUAAAACUCUGUUAUUAGGGAAGAACAAAUGUGUAAGUAACUAUGCACGUCUUGACGGUACCUAAUCAGAAAGCCACGGCUAACUACGUGCCAGCAGCCGCGGUAAUACGUAGGUGGCAAGCGUUAUCCGGAAUUAUUGGGCGUAAAGCGCGCGUAGGCGGUUUUUUAAGUCUGAUGUGAAAGCCCACGGCUCAACCGUAGAGGGUCAUUGGAAACUGGAAAACUUGAGUGCAGAAGAGGAAAGUGGAAUUCCAUGUGUAGCGGUGAAAUGCGCAGAGAUAUGGAGGAACACCAGUGGCGAAGGCGACUUUCUGGUCUGUAACUGACGCUGAUGUGCGAAAGCGUGGGGAUCAAACAGG